rnacentral:rRNA from 1 species
CCUACGGGGGGCAGCAGUAGGGAAUAUUGCUCAAUGGGGGAAACCCUGAAGCAGCAACGCCGCGUGGAGGAUGAAGGUUUUCGGAUUGUAAACUCCUUUUGUUAGAGAAGAUAAUGACGGUAUCUAACGAAUAAGCACCGGCUAACUACGUGCCAGCAGCCGCGGUAAAACGGAGGGUGCACGCGUUACUCGGAAUCACUGGGCGUAAAGAGCGCGUAGGCGGGAUAGCAAGUCAGAUGUGAAAUCCUAUGGCUUAACCAUAGGACUGCAUUUGAAACUGUUAUUCUAGAGUAUGGGAGAGGUAGGUGGAAUGCUUGGUGUAGGGGUAAAAUGCGUAGAGAUCAAGAAGAAUACUCAUUGCGAAGGCGGCCUGCUGGAGCAUAACUGACGCUGAGGCGCGAAAGCGUGGGGAGCAAACAGGAUUAGAUACCCUAGUAGUC